rnacentral:rRNA from 1 species
GACGAACGCUGGCGGCGUGCUUAACACAUGCAAGUCGAACGGAAAGGCCCUGCUUUUGUGGGGUGCUCGAGUGGCGAACGGGUGAGUAACACGUGAGUAACCUGCCCUUGACUUUGGGAUAACUUCAGGAAACUGGGGCUAAUACCGGAUAGGAGCUCCUGCUGCAUGGUGGGGGUUGGAAAGUUUCGGCGGUUGGGGAUGGACUCGCGGCUUAUCAGCUUGUUGGGGGGGUAGUGGCUUACCAAGGCUUUGACGGGUAGCCGGCCUGAGAGGGUGACCGGCCACAUUGGGCCUGAGAUACGGCCCAGACUCCUACGGGAGGCAGCAGUGGGGAAUAUUGCACAAUGGGCGGAAGCCUGAUGCAGCAACGCCGCGUGCGGGAUGACGGCCUUCGGGUUGUAACCGCUUUCGCCUGUGACGAAGCGUGAGUGACGGUAAUGGGUAAAGAAGCACCGGCUAACUACGUG